GCCUCUUUAGCUCAGCUGGCAGAGCGUUGCUCUCGUAUUGCGGGUCAAAGCAAAGGUCGUGUGUUCGAUUCACAUAGGAGGCA